UUUAUUAUUCUGAAAGUAUCAUCAUUUGUUUGUGCGUUCUUCUGCAUCUUCAUAAACUAACCUUCUGAUUUGUUUGUCCCAAGUUAGUGCCAUCUCUACGUACUGUGCUGCUGCUGUUUUAUUAUACUUCUCAAUUAUCUUGAUUUUUCUUUUAAGUUUUAACUGCAGUGUUCCCCCAUCUCCUUACUUGAAUUAUAUGUACCAAGCUACAAACCUCCCGACUAAGCUGCCUGAUCAAAGCUCUUGGUAAUUGUUUCUCGGACCAUUUUCAGUUACUUUUAAUCUCUUUUGUGAACUUGUACACUGUAGAAAUUGUUUUAGUUCUGUGUCAUGUAUCUGCCUUCGUUCUUUUACUUCACUCUCUGUACUAAUUUGUCUUUUUUUACAUAUUACUAAGCUAAGUUUAGAUUGAAUUAUAGCACAACAUUACAAUAAGGCUACUUAAUUUGUUGUGUCCAACAUAUUGAUUAAUUAUACGAGAUGAGGCCGGAUAUAUAGUUUGGAACCUAGUUUAUUUCUGUUGAGUAUUGAGCAAUAUAUUUCUUUUCUUUUUUU